UACGUAGGGGGCAAGCGUUGUCCGGAAUCACUGGGCGUAAAGCGCACGUAGGCGGAUCGUUAAGUCAGGGGUGAAAGCCUGGAGCUCAACUCCAGAACUGCCUUUGAUACUGAGGAUCUCGAGUUCGGGAGAGGUGAGUGGAACUGCGAGUGUAGAGGUGAAAUUCGUAGAUAUUCGCAAGAACACCGGUGGCGAAAGCGCUCUACUGGGCCUGCACUGACACUGAGGGACGAAAGCUAGGGGAGCGAAAGGG
rnacentral:rRNA from 1 species